GUUUUUUCAUUCUUUCCACUUGUGCACUGCUUGUAGGCAGCCUGGCAUUGUUCGGGUUGUCUAUGAUUUUCUUUUACAUACAUGAAUCAUUGUUGUACAGAAUGUGAUAAAAAAUAAUAAUACAACUUUCAACAACGGAUCUCUUGGCUCUCGCAUCGAUGAAGAACGCAGCGAAAUGCGAUAAGUAAUGUGAAUUGCAGAAUUCAGUGAAUCAUCGAAUCUUUGAACGCAUCUUGCGCUCCUUGGUAUUCCGAGGAGCAUGCCUGUUUGAGUGUCAUUAAAUUCUGUCAAAACAUGCACUUGAGUGUGUGUUUUGGAUUGUGGGAGUGUCUGCUGGCUUUAUAUGAGUCAGCUCUCCUGAAAGACAUUAGCUUUGGAGGGAUGUGCCAAGUCACUUCUGCCUUUCCAUUGGUGUGAUAGAUGAAUAAACUUAUCUACGCCAGGAAAGCAGGUUUCAGGUGAUGCACUGUGAUCUCUCUGCUCUCUAAUUGACAUUUGUCUGAUAACUUGACCUCAAAUCAGGUAGGACUACCCGCUGAACUUAA
rnacentral:rRNA from 1 species